GAUGAACGCUGGCGGCGUGCUUAACACAUGCAAGUCGAACGGAAAGGCCCUGCUUUUGUGGGAUGCUCGAGUGGCGAACGGGUGAGUAACACGUGAGUAACCUGCCCUUGACUUUGGGAUAACUUCAGGAAACUGGGGCUAAUACCGGAUAGGAGCUCCUGCUGCAUGGUGGGGGUUGGAAAGUUUGGGCGGGUGGGGAUGGACUCGCGGCUUAUCAGCUUGUUGGUGGGGUAGUGGCUUACCAAGGCUUUGACGGGUGGCCGGCCUGAGAGGGUGACCGGCCACAUUGGGACUGGGAACCGGCCCAGACUCCUCCGGGAGGCAGCAGUGGGGAAAAUUGAAAAAUGGGCGGAAGCCUGAUGAAGCAACGCCGCGUGCGGGAUGCCGGCCUUCGGGUUGUAAACCGUUUUCGCCUGUGACGAAGCGUGAGUGACGGUAAUGAGUAAAGAAGCACCGGCUAACUACGUG
rnacentral:rRNA from 1 species